UACGUAGGGGGCAAGCGUUGUCCGGAAUCAUUGGGCGUAAAGCGCGUGUAGGCGGCUCGGUAAGUCCGCUCUGAAAGUCCAGGGCUCAACCCUGGGAUGCGGGUGGAUACUGCCGGGCUCGAGUCCGGAAGAGGCGAGUGGAAUUCCUGGUGUAGCGGUGAAAUGCGCAGAUAUCAGGAGGAACACCAAUGGCGAAGGCAGCUCGCUGGGACGUGACUGACGCUGAGACGCGAAAGCGUGGGGAGCAAACAGGAUUAGAUACCCCCGUAGUCC
rnacentral:rRNA from 1 species